rnacentral:rRNA from 1 species
UGUGCCGGAGCUAACGCGUUAAGCGUGCCGCCUGGGAAGUACGGUCGCAAGACUAAAACUCAAAGAAAUUGACGGGGACCCGCACAAGCGGUGGAGUAUGUGGCUUAAUUCGAUGCAACGCGAAGAACCUUACCAAGGCUUGACAUGGAUUUCUAAGCACGUGAAAGCGUGUGACCCUUCGGGGAACUUCCACAGGUGCUGCAUGGCUGUCGUCAGCUCGUGUCGUGAGAUGUUGGGUUAAGUCCCGCAACGAGCGCAACCCUUGUGACUAGUUGCCAGCGGGUAAUGCCGGGAACUCUAGUCAGACUGCCCAGAUCAACUGGGAGGAAGGUGGGGACGACGUCAGGUCAGUAUGGCCCUUACGCCUUGGGCUGCACACGUACUACAAUGCCCAGUACAAUGAGAACCGAGACCGCGAGGUGGAGGAAAUCUGCAAAACUGGGCCCAGUUCGGAUUGGAGGCUGCAACUCGCCUCCAUGAAGUUGGAAUCGCUAGUAAUGGCGCAUCAUCUACGGCGCCGUGAAUACGUUCCCGGGUCUUGUACACACCGCCCGUCACAUCAUGGAAGCCGGUCGCACCCGAAGUGCCUGUACCAACCGCAAGGGGGUAGGGUCCUAAGGUGUAGCUGGUAACUGGGAUGAAGUCGUAACAAGGUAACCAAGGGCGAA